AAAAGAGUUUCAAGGUUCAACAAAGAUUCGGAUAGACCUAGUACGAAGUUGGAUCGACGAAAACAAAAAGUAUCGGAUUGGUAUAUUCUCGUAUACAAACAAGUGUCGAGUGCUUGGAAGCUCAUAAAGGUUGGAAUUGGCCAGAGCAUCAUCACACUAUCCUUCAGUUCGUUUUGGUAUAAAUAGCAAACUUAUUUUAGUAUAAUAGCAUGUAUGGGUUAAGUUGACCAAUGAUGUCAUAUAUAUAUGGUUGGUUGUAACUAGCCAUUGGAAUGGCUAGUGAUGGCUUGUUUGAUGUAAAUGUAUGAGGGUACAAUAUGAUUAAUAUAAAUAUGUGCUUAGUAUGAUUAGAUUGAAUUUUGGUAAAUUUAUAUGUUUAUACAAAAAGUAAGUUUGAAUA